GACAGAGGGUGCGAACGUUGUUCGGAAUUACUGGGCGUAAAGCGCGUGUAGGCGGCAAUGCAAGUCGGGCGUGAAAUCCCACGGCUCAACCGUGGAAGUGCACUCGAAACUGCAUAGCUAGAGUCCUGGAGAGGAAGGUGGAAUGCUUGGUGUAGAGGUGAAAUUCGUAGAUAUCAAGCGGAACACCGGUGGCGAAGGCGGCCUUCUGGACAGUGACUGACGCUGAGACGCGAAAGCGUGGGGAGCAAACAGGG
rnacentral:rRNA from 1 species